CUUCAGCGAGCCCAACCACAACGGCCGCCCCUCCGGCCGGUCCUGCCCAUACGUCGCCAGCAGCGCCUGCGCCUC
rnacentral:antisense_RNA from 1 species